AUUGAACGCUGGCGGCAGGCCUAACACAUGCAAGUCGAGCGGAUGAAGGGAGCUUGCUCCUGGAUUCAGCGGCGGACGGGUGAGUAAUGCCUAGGAAUCUGCCUGGUAGUGGGGGAUAACGUCCGGAAACGGGCGCUAAUACCGCAUACGUCCUGAGGGAGAAAGUGGGGGAUCUUCGGACCUCACGCUAUCAGAUGAGCCUAGGUCGGAUUAGCUAGUUGGUGGGGUAAAGGCCUACUAAGGCGACGAUCCGUAACUGGUCUGAGAGGAUGAUCAGUCACACUGGAACUGAGACACGGUCCAGACUCCUACGGGAGGCAGCAGUGGGGAAUAUUGGACAAUGGGCGAAAGCCUGAUCCAGCCAUGCCGCGUGUGUGAAGAAGGUCUUCGGAUUGUAAAGCACUUUAAGUUGGGAGGAAGGGCAGUAAGUUAAUACCUUGCUGUUUUGACGUUACCAACAGAAUAAGCACCGGCUAACUUCGU
rnacentral:rRNA from 1 species